UACGGAGGGUGCAAGCGUUAUCCGGAUUCACUGGGCUUAAAGGGUGCGUAGGUGGGUAUGUAAGUCAGUGGUGAAAUCUCCGGGCUUAACCCGGAAACUGCCAUUGAUACUAUUUGUCUUGAAUACUGUGGAGGUCAGCGGAAUAUGUCAUGUAGCGGUGAAAUGCUUAGAUAUGACAUAGAACACCAAUUGCGAAGGCAGCUGGCUACACAAAUAUUGACACUGAGGCACGAAAGCGUGGGGAGCAAACAGG
rnacentral:rRNA from 1 species